rnacentral:rRNA from 2 species
UAGCGAAGCUCUUGAUCGAAGCCCGAGUAAACGGCGGCCGUAACUAUAACGGUCCUAAGGUAGCGAAAUUCCUUGUCGGUUAAAUACCGACCUGCAUGAAUGGCGUAACGAGAUGGGAGCUGUCUCAAAGAGGGAUCCAGUGAAAUUGUAGUGGAGGUGAAAAUUCCUCCUACCCGCGGCAAGACGGAAAGACCCCGUGGACCUUUACUACAGCUUGACACUGCUACUUGGAUAAGAAUGUGCAGGAUAGGUGGGAGGCUUUGAGUAUAUGACGCCAGUUGUAUAUGAGCCAUUGUUGAGAUACCACUCUUUCUUAUUUGGGUAGCUAACCAGCUUGAGUUAUCCUCAAGUGGGACAAUGUCUGGUGGGUAGUUUGACUGGGGCGGUCGCCUCCCAAAUAAUAACGGAGGCUUACAAAGGUUGGCUCAGAACGGUUGGAAAUCG